AUACUUACCUGACAGGAGAGAUACCAUGAUCACAAAAGUGGUUUUCCCAGGGCGAGGCUUAUGCACGGCACUCUGGAUGUGCUGACCCCUACGAUUUCCCCAAAUGUGGGAAGCUCAACUUCCUAAUUUGUGGUAUUGCAGGACUGCAUUCGCUCUCUCCUCUG